GUGAAAGGCUUCUCCAGGAAGUUAGCAGUAUUAUUUUCACUUCUAAGUAAACUUCAGUAGAAGAGAGCCUGUUUAUUAAAAAAAAAGCAUAACUUUAUUAGUUUCAGCUGAGAUAUACCACUGUAGAAGUAGAAAUUCAAAAGAUCUAAGUUCUUUAUAUUUUAAGAAACAUUUCAAAAGCUAGUAACAACGUCAGUGACAUGAGGAUAUGCGUUAGCAUGGAAGGAAGCAAAAGACCCAAGUUUUGGUUCAAGUUCUACCAUUUAUGUGUCAGUUAUGUGACCUGUAUGCAACUUAUGUCACUUAUUUUUUCUGAAUCUGAGUUUCCUUUUUUUUUUUUUUUGGUACUGGGGAUUGAACUCGGAUCCUUUCGCUUUUGAGGCAGGCGGCAGAACCACUGAGCUAAAUCCCUGGCCUAGUUUCCUUAUUUUUAGGUUUGGAUAAAACUGCUUAUUUUACUAUCCAGUGAAGAACAGCAUAGAAAAACAUUUCUUAAUCUAUUAACACUUCAUAGUUACACAGAAUUUAUCAUUAAAACAUAAUGAAUGCACCUUUAUAUACAUUUUAAGUGAAAACUGCUAUUAUUCAUAACACUUACUUCAUAUCAAAUAUAUAUGCAGGGCAUGCUACCUAAAAAAAUCUGAAGGAUCUCUAACAAGGUGCUGAAUUGAAGUCAGAUUCCACACUUGAAGUCAAAGAAGUGAGCUAGUUUAUAGUGAGUGCGAAUGUUCAUCCUCAAAUACAUGAAGAUGAUUCAGAGUAACUAAAAGAUGCCUUUAGCUUUUUCUCAAAGAGGAAUUAGGAUGGCGCUGCUCCCCAGAUUUGGGAUACUCUUCAGAUCCUAGAUACAUUCAUAGGGUUAGAAUGAUUUAACAGCCACCCAUGGGACUAGGGAAGAAAUAAAGUGGUCAGGAAAAUGGGACUCCACGGUGACAGCUCCGGGCUGGGUGACAGAAGCUGAGGUAGAACCCACUGGAGCAGUGAGGGAGGGUGACUCAGUUGGAUGUCUCCCACAGAGGCUUGUGACAGUGACAAGAACGCUCCCUGUGAAUGGCCGACUGUGCGGCUGCUGGAAGUGAAUGUUCUAGUGGUGAGUGUAGUUUUCACAUGAGGAGACAGGGCCUUUAUAAUGUAAAUCUAAAGAUUUUUAAGUUUGCCUUUCACAUUAAAUAUUAACUGAGUCACUCCCUAUGUAAUGAGAAGCUCUUGCCUAGCAAGUGGAGGCCCUGGGUUUGAUGCCCAGCAUGGGGCAGGGUGGAGUGGGUGGAGCAUCAGUCCUUUCCCAGUGAGCUACUUCUUCACCAAAAGCAGUCUCAAGGCUGAGCAUCACAACUUUUAGCCUAGGGAAAGCUGGUGAAUAAAGCAUAAGACAAAUAGGGCAGGAAUUUACCUGAGGACACAGUGGACCCGGACCUCUGAUACCUUGCUUCCUAAGCCCCAGUUGCAUGAUGCUGCAGCCUCUGCAUGUCUUGUGUCGGACAUAUCCAUGUGCUUCCUUGAAGGUAGGUGCAAAGGGGCAGCAUUCCUACACUCACUAAAUUGUUGCUGAACAUAAUGUAAUCCUAAUACUAUAUAGCCUUACUGAAAACCCUUCCCCUAGUUUUUCAGUGAUGAUACCAUAAAUAAAAUACUUGAUAUGCUUUACAUAAAUACUUUUUAAUAGUUAAUAUCCUAAAGAAGCAAAUGCCCAUUUCCAAAGCAAUUAGCUUAUUGUGAUUAACUGGUUUUAUUCUCCUGUAGUCAUCUCUCCCUCUUCACUGAGGGGGAGAAAAUGAUAGUCCCUUGAGAUACCCUUAGACUCUCCCUCUCACCUUGGUGCCCCUCUAGUGUCUUAAGGUGUUGUCUAAACAAGUGCAGCCUUACAGUUUUUGUUAAAACCUUAUCAAAACUAUUCAGUGAUUCUUCCAACAAGCUUAUCUCCUCUGCACUAUUCAAUAAUAAACCCUGGCUACCACGUAGCCCAUGACCUCCAAGUAGUUUACCUAUGCAAUACCCAUGACAGUCUGAAUUCACUUUGCUUUAUUUCAGAAAGCAGUCAUACGUAGAACUUAAUCACAGAAAACUUGUUUUCUACCAGUUUUAUUUUGGUUAUUUCCCUUUCAAUAUCUCAGCUAUUUUCCCCAAGAUUUUUCACCAAAACAAUGAUCAUAAGUGCUAUAAUAUAUAAUAUUUUGCAGGAAUAAAAUAACCCAGACAUACUCAUAUUUCUUUGAUGGAUUUUGGUUUGUAAAAAUUACCAGCAUUAAAUAUAAAUAUAUACUAAGGAGUUAAUUCCUUGCCUAGAGUCACUUCUUCCCUCUAAGAUUCAUAAGUAACCUUUUAUUUUUACAAAGCAUACAUACAGUUUCCACAUUAUAGUCAGGGACCUAAGGUGUAACUUGCUAAGUGAACCCCAAGGUUAUUUUAUCUUGCAAAAGAAACCUAAACCAAACUAAGGGCCUUACAGUUUAUGGUUAGACUGAAUCAAAAGCUAUAACCUCAGUUUUUCCAAAAACAGCUUCUGACUGCAAAAGCAAGUCAUGAAGUUGUUAACGUAUGAAAUAGCACUGAUCAGAAAAUGCACGUGCAUCUUUGCACGCUGCAUUUCCCUCAGAAAAGACUUUUCUACUUUUAAUAUAAAUUAAGCCAUAACAGUUUCAUGCUGUGGAAAGAGGGUGAAAAGGUUCAUGUUAGAGAUUAUAUAAUAUGAAUUUUCACUUUACUGUGAAAUGUCUAACUUUACCAGUGCUUCAGCAAGUUUUCUUUUGGGGGAUGUUGGAGGGUGGUGAUGGAUGGGAGGGUUAGUAUUGGUUUUAGGGGGUUUUAACUGUGAAAUUUGCAAAGGGGACAGUUGUUGGCUAUGGUAUUUACUAGUUUUGUAGUAAUGUUUUGCUAGCCUGACUUUCCUUACUGGUUUUUAUGCCCACAGUCCCAGGUGGCUGAUUGUUGCCUUCUCAUUGGGGGUGUCUGCGGGGUAGUGUCUUGUCUAUGUGUAGGUUGCCAGUGUGUGUGCACAUGUGUGUCCUUUGAGUACAGAAGCACACAUGUCACGGUGGGACGGGGUGUGGCUGGGGAGUGGGAUGCAGAAGCUUUAAGAGCAUUUUUUUCUAAUUCAUGACAGUAUUUCCCAUCUUUAGCCUGCAGGCAGGGAAAAUGUACAGUAUUUAUUUUGUUUCUGUUUUACUCUCAAUUUGUAAGUCUUUAAGUAGCUUACAUUGAUUAUUAUAGGGGAAGACAAGUGACUUGUUUAAAGUUGUAUUUAGUAUUCUUUUCAAUUUCUGUACUUUAAAAUAUUGAAAUUAAAAUUGUAUUAUUUCUGUUUGGAUUUUUUUAGCACAGUGUAUUUUUUGCUUAUUUUGUUUGAAAAUAUAAAUGUUGAAAGUUGUACAAAAUGUGUCUCUGAAAGAAAAAAAUCUGAAUUCUAUAUCCAA
ensembl:lncRNA